UACGUAGGGUGCGAGCGUUAAUCGGAAUUACUGGGCGUAAAGCGUGCGCAGGCGGUUUUGUAAGCCAGAUGUGAAAUCCCCGGGCUUAACCUGGGAAUGGCAUUUGGGACUGCAAGGCUGGAGUGUGGCAGAGGAGACUGGAAUUCCUGGUGUAGCAGUGAAAUGCGUAGAGAUGCGGCGGAACACCGAUGGCGAAGGCAGCCCCCUGGGCUGAGAUUGACGCUCAGGCACGAAAGCGUGGGGAGCAAACAGG
rnacentral:rRNA from 1 species